rnacentral:tRNA from 6 species
GCCAGUGUAGCUCAGUGGUAGAGCAGCUGAUUCGUAAUCAGCAGGUCGUCGGUUCAAGUCCGACCCCUGGCUCCA